CACAGGGCAAGGUGGUGGGUAACACCCACCCGGGGCAACCCGCGGGACAGUGCCACAGAGAACAGACCGCCCCUGCGUGCAGGGGUAAGGGUGAAACGGCGGUGUAAGAGACCACCAGCGACCGGGGCGACCCGGCCGGCUCGGCAAACCCCACCUGGAGCAAGGUCAAGAAGUCCGGUGCUCUCACCGGACGCGCGCACGACUGAGGGCGGCCCGCCCGAGUGCGCGGGUAGACCGCUGGAGGGCGUCGGCAACGGCGCUCGUAGAUGGAUGGUCGCCACGCUUCGGCGUU
rnacentral:misc_RNA from 1 species